UACAGAGGUCCCAAGCGUUGUUCGGAUUCACUGGGCGUAAAGGGUGCGUAGGUGGUUGGGCAAGUCUGAUGUGAAAUCUCCGGGCUUAACCCGGAAAUGGCAUUGGAAACUGCCUGGCUAGAGUGUUGGAGGGGGGACUGGAAUUCUCGGUGUAGCAGUGAAAUGCGUAGAUAUCAGAAGGAACAUCAGUGGCGAAGGCGGCUUUCUGGACCAAUACUGACGAUCAGGUGCGAAAGCGUGGGGAGCAAACAGG
rnacentral:rRNA from 1 species